rnacentral:tRNA from 2 species
CGGGGCGUAGCGCAGCCCGGUAGCGCACCGCGUUCGGGACGCGGGAGUCGCAGGUUCAAAUCCUGUCGCCCCGACCA